AACGAAAUAUAUACGAGGGUUAUCCAAAAAGUUCGUAGAAACCAGUACUUUUAUCAAAAAUAACGUAGCAAUUGUCAAAGAAAGUAUUUCAAUAUUUUUAAUAUUGAGCAUAAUGUUUAUGUAUUAGAAUCAAAUCAAUGUCCGUUUUGUUCCGUAAAAAGAACUUAGAAGUUAAAAUUGCUUUCCUCUAUAAUGUCGGAGGAAACUCAUUAUGCUCUUGAAUAUGAUUCUGCGAUAAAGUUUCCCUGAAAAUGGCUAAAAAGACUAUAACUCAAUUUUUAAUCGCUUUGUUUUAAAUUUCCAACUGCUCUGCGACUUCAACAACUACUAUUCCGCCAAGCUUCAAUCGUUGUUUUUUUUUCAAUUGUACAAGUGAAUUUUCUUUUCUGUUUCACUUUAUUAUAAUUAAAAAAGUGUUGUCUUGUC
rnacentral:misc_RNA from 1 species